GCCAGGCAUGGUGGUGUGUGCCUGUAGUCCCAGCUACUGAGGAGGCCGAGGCAGGAGAAUUGCUUGAACUCAGGAGGUGCAGGUUGCAGUGAACCAAGAUUGUGCCACUGCACUCUAACCUGGGUGACAGAGCAAGACUCUGUCUCAA
rnacentral:SRP_RNA from 1 species